CUUGAUGGAGCCCAGCCACAGCGGCCGGGUGCGCGGCCGUCCCUGGCCGUACGUGGCGAGCAGCGCCUG
rnacentral:antisense_RNA from 1 species